AGGAAGCACGGAUGACUCAGUAGACCAAUGUCGUUUUUCUAUCCUGUUCUAACAACUGCAAAGAAGGUAUAAUUUAUGUUGGCUGCCAAAUGUUGAAACUAUCAUGGCCGUGAUUCCUUGGGAGUGCCAAAGAGAGAGAGAGAAGAAUAUGGUAUUGGCCAGAGAAUUCAGCUUCCUAAGAAUGUCAGCAAGCAUUUUAAAAACAAUAAACUAGCAAGUUUCUAGUCCUCAUGACCAUGGAGAUACUCUCAAAAAUAUAUGAGGAAUUCCGCAGACACUUAUACCUACAAGCAGAAGUCCAUGUGUGUGGGGGAGGGGUUGUACUGCUGGAUGAGCUUGGCUUCUCCCCACCUCCCACCCCCUUACAUCAUUUCCUCCCAAAUUCAGUGCUGAUUUCUCAGGCUAGGACUGCCAUUUUUGGUGACAUCCAUCCCCCAUUGCCUCUUGGAAUGAGCCAUUCUGCAGAAAAACAAAAUAGGUUCCAGCAGCUGGUCAGACCUGCAAGGUGCUCCAGUAAGUUUUGAUCAUUUAAAAAGUGCAAUCAGUCUGCAUGCCAGUCAAUGGAACAUGAGGAUUCUGCAUGCAGCUGAAUGUUGGCUUGCAGAAGGUCUAAGAGGACAAUUUCAGCCUGAAAUAUGACAGUGAACUACAUUGCAGAGCUGCUGAAACUGCUCUCUUGCAGCACAGCCCUUUAAUUAAUCUGCAAGAGGCAUGCAGCAGUGAGCUAUACUCUCUCGUAAGUUUUUUUCUUAGUCCUCCAACCUGCACUGUGGAGAUAAAAGCAAUAGAUAGCAAUACAGGGUCAUUGUAAAGCUAAGCUUCACCUUAACCCCCAACCUGCUUCAGGGACUGGACAGCACAGCAAGAUUGAUACAAAU